rnacentral:rRNA from 1 species
GAUGAACGCUGGCGGCGUGCCUAAUACAUGCAAGUCGAGCGAACAGACGAGGAGCUUGCUCCUCUGACGUUAGCGGCGGACGGGUGAGUAACACGUGGAUAACCUACCUAUAAGACUGGGAUAACUUCGGGAAACCGGAGCUAAUACCGGAUAAUAUAUUGAACCGCAUGGUUCAAUAGUGAAAGACGGUUUUGCUGUCACUUAUAGAUGGAUCCGCGCCGCAUUAGCUAGUUGGUAAGGUAACGGCUUACCAAGGCAACGAUGCGUAGCCGACCUGAGAGAGUGAUCGGCCACACGGGAACUGAGACACGGUCCAGACUCCUACGGGAGGCAGCAGUAGGGAAUCUUCCGCAAUGGGCGAAAGCCUGACGGAGCAACGCCGCGUGAGUGAUGAAGGUCUUCGGAGCGUAAAACUCUGUUAUUAGGGAAGAACAAAUGUGUAAGUAACUAUGCACGUCUUGACGGUACCUAAUCAGAAAGCCACGGCUAACUACGUG